GACAGCAUGGUACAGUGGUUUGAAUGCUGGACUAUGGCUCUGGUGAUCAGAGUUCAUAUCCCUGCUCAGCCA